rnacentral:rRNA from 1 species
UACGGAGGGUGCGAGCGUUGUUCGGAAUUAUUGGGCGUAAAGCGCACGUAGGCGGUUGGGUAAGUCUCAUGGUGAAAGGCCGGGGCUCAACUCCGAGCUUGCCAGGGAUACUGCCCGACUGGAGACGGGGAGAGGCCAGUGGAAUUCCGGGUGUAGCGGUGGAAUGCGUAGAGAUCCGGAAGAACACCGGAGGCGAAGGCGGCUGGCUGGCCCUGAUCUGACGCUGAGGUGCGAAAGCGUGGGGAGCGAA